AACUACUUCGGUAGCCUAGUGGUUAGAGUCUUUGCCUCGGAUGCGGGAGGUCGUGGGUUUGAUUCCCGGUCUAGUCA